AUUGAACGCUGGCGGCAGGCCUAAUACAUGCAAGUCGAGCGAGCGGCGGACGGGUGAGUAAUGUAUGGGGACUGCCCGAUAGAGGGGGAUCACUCCUGGAAAAGGUGGCUAAUACCGCACACUGUCGGCUAUCCCAUAGGGGAUUAGCUAGUAGGUAAGGUAAUGGCUUACCUAGGCGACGAUCCCUAGCUGGUCUGAGAGGAUGAUCAGCCACACUGGGACUGAGACACGGCCCAGACUCCUACGGAGGCAGCAGUGGGGAAUAUUGCACAAUGGGCGCAAGCCUGAUGCAGCCAUGCCGCGUGUAUGAAGAAGGCCCUAGGAUUGUAAAGUACUUUCAGUCGGGAGGCGUUACCGACAGAAGAAGCACCGGCUAACUCCGUGCCAGCCGCCGCGGUAAUUC
rnacentral:rRNA from 1 species